rnacentral:lncRNA from 1 species
UCGUAAACUUGACUUAUGUAUAUGCUGCUACAUUUUUCGCUUUUGGACCACAUAAUCUCCUUGUAAUCUUAAUCGAUCGCUCCUGUUUCUCAUCAGAAGUAGCGAGAGGGCAAGAUCCAGAGAAGUAAUCAAGGACUACGGAAGUGAUGGACGCCGUGGAAACGAUCAUCUCAACCGGGAUCAACAUCUAUGAAGCGACCCAGCUGAGCGAUGAACUGUCCCGCCUGCAGGCCACCUUGCCCAAGGCUCGCUUCCUCAUCAAUCGCGGCGAGUGGGGCAGGUUCAAGAACAAGGACAUGGCGAUCCUUCUGUCGCAGCUCAAGGACACCACCUACGACGCCGAGGAUCUUCUCCGCGAGUUCGAUGACCAGGCGCUGCGGCAAAAGAUGGAGGACGCUGACCGGAGCUGGGCAGGAGGAUGACACUCUGAUUGGAGUAGAUCUGGCAUCCAAGAGUACAAAAGACAUUCAAGCAGCUUUGGCACUUGCUGGAACAUGUCAAUCUGGGUACACUGGUGGAGAAACCAUCUUUGGUCCGUCGACCGAAAUCCACAAUAGUCCCGGUUCCACUAAAAACCGAGACUAAAGAUGAUCUUUAGUAUGAAGCUAGAGCUGGAAAUGGCGGACCGUUUUUAGACAUGGAAAUUUCACUCAAGAAGUUGUCCAAGCAGGAAAAGGAGACCAAUGACAUUAGAAAUUGGUUCAUAGGAAUAAUAGUUCUAGCUGUGCUCCUUCUCAUGAAAUUAUUUGAUAAUAUGUACUAUGACUACCGUUGUUGAUUUUCUGGAUGUUAAAAUGGAAAAAAAUUUAGUCAUAUUGCUAGAUGUUAUUAGCUAUGCUAAAUCACAACAUAUUCCCCAACUUACAAUAUCAAUAUCAAUUUUUAAC